GACGAACCGUGCGAACGUUAUUCGGAAUCACUGGGCUUAAAGCGCGUGUAGGCGAGUGGGAACGUCGGCCGCUGAAAUCCCCCGGCUCAACCGGGGAAGUGGCGCCGAAACGGCCCGCCUGGAGGAACGUAGGGGGAGCUGGAACUUCCGGUGGAGCGGUGAAAUGCGUUGAGAUCGGAAGGAACGCCCGUGGCGAAAGCGAGCUCCUGGACGUUUUCUGACGCUGAGACGCGAAAGCCAGGGGAGCGAACGGG
rnacentral:rRNA from 1 species